AAAAGAGGAGUGGCGAACGGGUGAGUAACACGUGGGUAACCUGCCCAUCAGAAGGGGAUAACACUUGGAAACAGGUGCUAAUACCGUAUAACAAUCGAAACCGCAUGGUUUUGAUUUGAAAGGCGCUUUCGGGUGUCGCUGAUGGAUGGACCCGCGGUGCAUUAGCUAGUUGGUGAGGUAACGGCUCACCAAGGCCACGAUGCAUAGCCGACCUGAGAGGGUGAUCGGCCACAUUGGGACUGAGACACGGCCCAAACUCCUACGGGAGGCAGCAGUAGGGAAUCUUCGGCAAUGGACGAAAGUCUGACCGAGCAACGCCGCGUGAGUGAAGAAGGUUUUCGGAUCGUAAAACUCUGUUGUUAGAGAAGAACAAGGAUGAGAGUAACUGUUCAUCCCUUGACGGUAUCUAACCAGAAAGCCACGGCUAACUACGUGCCAGCAGCCGCGGUAAUACGUAGGUGGCAAGCGUUGUCCGGAUUUAUUGGGCGUAAAGCGAGCGCAGGCGGUUUCUUAAGUCUGAUGUGAAAGCCCCCGGCUCAACCGGGGAGGGUCAUUGGAAACUGGGAGACUUGAGUGCAGAAGAGGAGAGUGGAAUUCCAUGUGUAGCGGUGAAAUGCGUAGAUAUAUGGAGGAACACCAGUGGCGAAGGCGGCUCUCUGGUCUGUAACUGACGCUGAGGCUCGAAAGCGUGGGGAGCAAACAGGAUUAGAUACCCUGGUAGUCCACGCCGUAAACGAUGAGUGCUAAGUGUUGGAGGGUUUCCGCCCUUCAGUGCUGCAGCUAACGCAUUAAGCACUCCGCCUGGGGAGUACGACCGCAAGGUUGAAACUCAAAGGAAUUGACGGGGGCCCGCACAAGCGGUGGAGCAUGUGGUUUAAUUCGAAGCAACGCGAAGAACCUUACCAGGUCUUGACAUCCUUUGACCCUCUAGAGAUAGAGCUUCCCCUUCGGGGGCAAAGUGACAGGUGGUGCAUGGUUGUCCUCACCUCCGGUCCGGAAAUGUUGGGUUAAGU
rnacentral:rRNA from 1 species